rnacentral:rRNA from 1 species
GGAACUGAGAUAAUACCGGAUAUUAAGCUAUGCCUGCAAUGGUUUGCUUAAGAAACGUUUUUCGCCUAAGGAUAGAUCUGCGGCUGAUUAGGUCGUUGGUGGGGUAAAGGCCCACCAAGCCGAUGAUCGGUACGGGUUGUGAGAGCAAGAGCCCGGAGAUGGAACCUGAGACAAGGUUCCAGACCCUACGGGGUGCAGCAGGCGCGAAACCUCCACAAUGUACGAAAGUGCGAUGGGGGGAUCCCAAGUGCUAUUCUUAACAGAAUAGCUUUUCAUUAGUGUAAAAAGCUUUUAGAAUAAGAGCUGGGCAAGACCGGUGCCAGCCGCCGCGGUAAUACCGGCAGCUCAAGUGGUAGCUGUUUUUAUUGGGCCUAAAGCGUUCGUAGCCGGUUUAAUAAGUCUUUGGUGAAAGCUUGUAGCUUAACUAUAAGAAUUGCUGGAGAUACUAUUAGACUUGAAGUCGGGAGAGGUUAGAGGUACUACCGGGGUAGGGGUGAAAUCCUAUAAUCCUGGGAGGACCACCUGUGGCGAAGGCGUCUAACUAGAACGAUCUUGACGGUGAGUAACGAAAGCCAGGGGCGCGAACCGGAUUAGAUACCCGGGUAGUCCUAGCCGUAAACGAUGUGGACUUGGUGUUGGAAUGGCUUCGAGUUGUUCCAGUGCCGAAGGGAAGCUGUUAAGUCCACCGCCUGGGAAGUACGGUCGCAAGACUGAAGCUUAAAGGAAUUGGCGGGGGAGCACAAU